UAAAGCUUCAAACUGGGAUUAGAUACCCCACUAUUCUUAGGUAUAAAUAGGUUUUAACCUACCAGAGAACUACGAACUAUUAACUUAAAACUCAAAGAACUUGGCGGUGCCUCUAGACCCCUCAGGGGAACCUGUUUCAUAAUCGACAAUCCGCGCCAAACCUCACCUUUUUUAGAUAUUCAGUAUGUAUACCGUCGUCGUCAGGUAACUUUUCAGAAUACAGAAGUUAGCGAAAAAGAGUCAUUAUCUUUUACGUCAGAUCAAGGUGCAGCCAAUAAAAAGGAGAAAAUGGGUUACAAUUAAUAAUUAUAACUACGGAAAAGACAAUGAAAUUUUCUUUAAUGAAGGAGGACUUGAAAGUAAAUUAAUUCUAUAAAAACUGCUUGAAUCAUAAGGCUCUGAGGCGUGCACACACCGCCCGUCACCCUCUGCAGUCAA
rnacentral:rRNA from 1 species